ACAAAAGGAGAGGGAAGGAAAGAGUCCGCCCAAGCAAGCAACCGCGACGGCGCGCAGCGCAGCGCAGCUGGCAAUCGCCAUCUCUUUCUUUCCCGUAUAUAUUCAGCUCCAUUUCCGGGGCGCAGCAAAGUCACAGGAUUCCUCCCUCCCUCCCUCUCCCCCGAUCUCCACCCCCCAUAUAUAUUGGCCCCCUCUCUCUCUCUUCCUCCCCGCGUAGCUAGCACCCCUGUUACGGAGCUCCGGUUGGUUGAUGCGCGGAGGCUGCCAUGGCGGUGUCGUCCCCCGCUCCGGAGCCGCCGAGGAGGAGGAACAAGUGUGGCGCCGCGGCAACCGAAAGGUGAUCAACGGCUACAUCGGCGAGGCGCGGGCGGCCCUCGCGGCCGCGGCGGCGCGGGACGGCGACGGCGGGGAUGACUCGGCCGCGGCGGCCGCGCUCGGCCUGGUCGGCGCGGUGCUGGAGAUGUCGCCCCGCAUGGAGGCCGCGCUCGAGCUCCGGGCGCGCGCGCUGCUCGCGCUCCGCCGCUACCGGGACGUCGCGGAGAUGCUCCGCGACUACAUUCCCAGCUGCGCCAAGUCCUGCGCCGGGGACGACACCGCCACCUCCUCCUCGUCGACGUCCUGCUCCUCCGGCUCCGGCGACCUCGCCUGCGCGUCCCGCGCGGGGCUUCUUUCCCCGGGCCGCGAGCUCUCCGUCUCCGGCGCCGGGGCCUCCCGGUUCCUCUGCUGCCUCGACGUCUCCGAGAUUAAGCGCCGCGUCGUCGCCGGCCUCUCCAGGAGCUCCGAGGCCGAGACCCAGUGGAGGUACUUGGUCUUGGGUCAGGCUUGCUUCCAUCUCGGCUUGAUGGAGGACGCCGUGGUGCUUCUCCAGACCGGCCGCCGCCUCGCCACGGCCGCGUUCCGUCGCGAGAGCGUGUGCUGGUCCGAGGACAGCUUCUCGCCGUCCAACUCGACGGCCAAUGUGCCUGCCGCCAGCAGACGGGCGCCGUCCAAGUACAGCCAGGCGUCCGGGAUGCCCCCGGCGAGCGAGGCGGACUCGGUGUCACAGCUGCUGGCGCACGUGAAGCUCCUGCUCCGCCGCCGCGCCGCCGCGGUGGCCGCGCUGGACGCGGGCCUCCCCGCCGAGGCCGUGCGCCAUUUCAACAAGGUGCUCGACGCGCGCCGCGGCGGCGUGCUCCCGCACUCCUUCGCCACGGCCUGCCUGGUGGGCCGCGCCGCGGCGUUCCGCGCGUCCGGGCGGCCCGCCGACGCCAUCGCCGACUGCAACCGCGCGCUGGCGCUCGACCCGGCCUUCAUCCCGGCGCUGCGCGCGCGCGCCGACCUGCUCGAGUCCGUGGGCGCGAUCCCCGACAGCCUCCGCGACCUGGACCACCUGAAGCUCCUCUACGACGCGGCGCUCCGCGACGGGAAGCUGCCGGGCCCGAGCUGGCGGCCGCAGGGCGGCGUCCGGCAGCGCGAGAUCGCCGGGGCGCACCGCGAGCUGGUGGCCCGCGUCCAGCAGCUCCGAGCCCGCGUGGCCGCCGGCGACGGGUGCAACGUGGACUACUACGCGCUCCUCGGGGUGCCGCGCGGCUGCGCGCGGUCGGAGGUGGUGCGCGCGCACCUGCUGCUGACGCUGAAGCUGAAGCCGGACCGGUCGGCGUCGUUCGCGGAGCGGCUGGAGCUGGUGGACGAGCACCGCGACCUGGACGCCGUGCGCGACCAGGCCCGCAUGUCGGCCCUCUUCCUCUACCGGAUGCUGCAGAAGGGCUACUCGCACAUCAUGUCCGCCGUGCUGGACGAGGAGGCCGCCGCGCGGCAGAGGGCCAGAGAAGACGCCGCCGCCGCCGCAUUGGCCGCCACCGUCGCCGCCGCCGCAGCGUCGGCGACCAAGCAAGCAGAAGAAGAAGCCGCAGCGUCAGCGACCAUGCAACAACAAGAAGAAGAAGAACUGGCAGCCGUGCCGGAGAGCCCCAAGCCAGAGCGUGUCAACAUCCCGGUGCAGGUCGCGGAGCCGGAAACGAUCGCACCACCGUCACCGCCGACGCCGAGGCUGAGCGCGGCGGCGAUGAGCCCGAUGUUCCAGGGCGCGUUCUGCCGCGACAUGGCGGUGGUCGGGACGCUGCUGUCCCGCGGCCGGUUCGACCGGCCGCCGAUGGCGGUCAAGUGCGAGGCGAUGAGCUGCUGAUCGUCGUGCCAGACGGCGAUAUCUCGACAGCAACGGCGGGUAGCGGGAAAACGGAGAGGAAGUUCGAAGAGGUCGCGUUCAAAACCAAAAAUUCGAGGAGCUGGAUCGGUGAACACCCGGUGCCGCCAUGCGUGGCAGCAGCGGCAGUAGUGUACAGUCUGAGAGGUCGUUUUCCAUUGGAAAACCAAAAAAAAAAGGAGGAGCAAGUGUAGCAGUACUAGUAAAGUUUUGGUUUCGUCUCGA